AAGAUUAUAAUGCAUGAUAUGGCAUUAUUAUAUAAAAUAUGCAUUUUUAUUGUUUCUGUGCAGACGUUUCAGUUUUAUGUUUCAGGUGCCUCAAAGAAUAGUAAUGAAAACAUUAACCAAAUCAACGAGAGUUUAGUUAUUGGUAUCUUUACUGGAAUAAUGAUCUGUAUGAGUUGUUAUGUUGUUACUGGAUGGAUUGUUGACAUAGUUAGAAAAAGGCAUGUAUUUUGUAAGCGUAUCUCGACAUCAGAUGACAAUAACGAAUACAGUUAUGCUAGGACAAGCAGAGAGAACGUGCGCCACACAGACUACGUUGAUCUACAAACUCUACACUCACAAGUUAGAUCUGGAAAUGGGAAUGACUUGUCAAAUGGAAAGACGUCCUCUGAAUCACAGAACAUCGACAUGAAAGAUAAAAAUGGUAUGGUCAGCACGUACAUGGAUAUGUCUGGAAGCGCAGGACAUUAUGAAAAUAAUGCUUCUUUAUAUGUGGACGUUCGUCUUUGAAUCUCUAAAAUGAUUUCCGACAUUAGUCUUCUUAUCUUUAUAUUUGAAGUAAAUAAAUUUUAAAAAAGGUUAAGAAGUUACAAACAAAAUAAAAGAUGUCAUGUUU